CACUGAGGGCCUGGUCCUGGAGCUUCCACCUGACAAGGCAGAGGAGGAGGCCCCAUCUAGUACCAAGGUUGCCUCAAGAGUAAGCAAAAAUGAUUGGAUUGUCGACAGAAGAUAUGAUUCCAGCAGCGAAGAUGAGGACAUUCCAGG